UCGUGCAUGAAAUAAUGUCUGUGUGCAUGUGUGUGAAACAACAAACUGACGAUUCAUAUAUAAUCAUUUGAAAUUGUAUAGAUAUUGUUGUGCUUAAUUG